rnacentral:sRNA from 1 species
CAAUAGAAUAGGAAUUUCUCAAGGGUGGAGGCACAUCUCCUAAUGAAAGGAGGUGAUGCUAUUUGACAGUUUUUCAAGCAUUGAUGCUGGCAAUUUCGUUUGCGGGUCUCAUUGUCACGGUCCUGUCAUUUCACCAAAAAAAAUAAUCCACCCUUGAGCCGGCAAGCAUAAGCGGUGGAUUACUGCCCUUUACGCCAAUCCCCUUUAAGGGAACCAACUAUUGCAUGACCGAGUAUCUUUGUCAUGCUCGG